rnacentral:rRNA from 1 species
AUGUACAUCCCUACAACUUUAAUGCAUCCCCAUUAGAACCAUGUAGUUAAGCAUGUUUGGGCUAGAGUAAUACUGAGAUGGGUGACCUCUUGGGAAGUCUUAGUGUUUUACAUG